GACGAACGCUGGCGGCGUGCUUAACACAUGCAAGUCGAACGGAAAGGCCCUGCUUUUGCGGGGUGCUCGAUUGGCGAACGGGUGAGUAACACGUGAGUAACCUGCCCUUGACUUUGGGAUAACUUCAGGAAACUGGGGCUAAUACCGGAUAGGAGCUCUUGCUGCAUGGUGGGGGUUGGAAAGUUUCGGCGGUUGGGGAUGGACUCGCGGCUUAUCAGCUUGUUGGUGGGGUAGUGGCUUACCAAGGUUUUGACGGGUAGCCGGCCUGAGAGGUGGAACGGCCACAUGGGGACUGAGAGACGGCCCAGACGCCUACGGGAGGCAGCAGUGGAGAGUAUUGCACAAUGGGCGGAAGCCUGAUGCAGCAACGCCGCGUGCGGGAUGACGGCCUUCGGGUUGUAAACCGCUUUCGCCUGUGACGAAGCGUGAGUGACGGUAAUGGGUAAAGAAGCACCGGCUAACUACGUG
rnacentral:rRNA from 1 species